AUGGAUUGGUGUGUAGAUGUUUUAACAGCAAAAGCCAUAGCACUACGAUUUGGCAUAUUACUUGCACAAAAGGCAGGAAGCAACCGUCUUCUUGUUAACUCCACCAAUAUGGAAGUAAUUGACACAAUGAUGAAUGGAGGACAUUCAGAGAGAGCGGCGGCUGUUGUGUUUGAUGAUUGUUAUUUUAUGGCUCGUGAUUUUCCGUUAAUUAGAUUUGAACAUUGUAAUAGGAAGGCAAAUAAAGUAACCGAUGAAAUUGCUAAAUUAGCUAAAUUUUCUGAGACAAGGGAUUGGUUCGAGGAACCUAUGAAUGAUAUUGUAAAUUUUCUUAUAGAUGAUGCGACCAUUAUUUCUAAUAAAUAA
rnacentral:rRNA from 1 species